GCAAGAUUAAGUCCGAGGCUGCUUUGUAGGGAGCCGCAGGGGCAAAAUACUUUCGAGCCACAAGAGUAGAUUUUCUUGUAUUUUCGAGCCAUUUUUGGCUUUUGGUUUUUUCUAUAAGCUUCUCUUUUUUCUUUUGACAAUAUCUGUAAUUAUUUUUAAUCAAGGGAUGAUGUAAAUCUUUUGCCUCCGUUUUCUUAAAAAAAAAAAUCACAUGUUGCCCUGAACCGUUAAGUCCGAGAUAACGUGGAAGAGACGGGAGACUUUUCCUCAGAGGAAGAAUUCGCUGGUAGGUGAGCGCUGCCACCGAUCCAUUGACUUGGCAAUUUGGCAUCCAUGCCGUUCGUUUGCCCGAUCUACAUUAGCUGGAAUGUACGUCUCCAGUUUUGUUUAUCAUAGACCUACCAUAGCAUAUCUCA
rnacentral:lncRNA from 1 species